GACGAACUGUCCUAACGUUGUUCGGAAUCACUGGGCUUAAAGGGCGCGUAGGCGGUCCGAUCAGUCAGGGGUGAAAUCCUACAGCUUAACUGUAGAAGUGCCUCUGAUACUGUCGGUCUUGAGGGAGAUAGGGGUGUGCGGAACUUCCAGUGGAGCGGUGAAAUGCGUUGAUAUUGGAAGGAACGCCGGAGGCGAAAGCGGCGCACUGGAUCUCUUCUGACGCUGAGGCGCGAAAGCUAGGGGAGCAAACGGG
rnacentral:rRNA from 1 species